rnacentral:misc_RNA from 1 species
CCUCCGUUGGUGAACCAGCGGAGGGAUCAUUACCGAGUUUUCUACUCCCAAACCCCUGUGAACUUAUACCUUUACCGUUGCUUCGGCGGGUUAACGCCCCGGAAAGGCCCCCGAAAGGGAGCCGCCCCGGAACCAGGCGCCCGCCGGGGGACCCAAACUCUUGUAUUUUCUUACCUAGCAUGUCUGAGUGGAAUCAUAAACAAAUGAAUCAAAACUUUCAACAACGGAUCUCUUGGUUCUG